AGGUAUAGCAACUAUGAUAAUCCAUAUCCGGGACCAAAGGGAGUUAAAGGACUCCUCGGGCAUAAAGGUGUCACAGGCUCCCCGGGGCCUCCAGGAUGUGGAGAUUACUACUGUGAGCCUGGUUACCCAGGGGACCCAGGUGAUCCAGGCCAUUAUGGCCCCGGUGGAAACAAAGGACUCAAAGG